GGUUGGAGAGAAGAUGGGGGAGGUGCCCGCAGCUGUCGUGUACAUACUAGUUGUAGUUGUGCUGUUUCCUUAGUGGAGUUUGGCUUUAUGCCGGAGCUUGGCGUGGUGCCGAUGGGGAUUGGGUCGCCGGCGCGAGCGAGCCGCAUGCGGUGGCUACUGGAGUCGGUUCUUAAGGUAGUGGCGAUGGAGGGCUUGCUACUGCCGACUGGAUCCACUCUGGUGUCCCAGGUAAUAAGCUCGAUGCCCCUGAUCUGGCGGAGGAUCUUGCUGUUGUCCCCUGCCUCGGAGGCCAUCAUGGUGAUGGCGAAGAGGUGGCCGACGCUUGCAACUCUGGAGCUUGCAGGUUGGGAUGCUGCGGAUCGGGCUGUGGAUCAUCAGCAGUGGAUGAUUUGUUGGCGAAGCGAUGGCGCCUGCUGUGGCGGUCGAUGGCCUGCUCUCACCGGCUCGCCUCUGUUUCUUCUGGCCGAAGGGCGGUCAUUCAAAUUCCUCCCGGCGAUGAAGCCCAAAGGAAGGUAGCUCUUUUCUUCCAUGGAGUCUAUGGCGUGGUGCUAUGGAGCUUUCGUCGGCCCAAGUGGUCUCGUCCCCAGUGUUGGCCGGAAGUUUUCCGUCGAGGAGCAGAAUAGGACCCGAUCGCGUUUCCUUUCCUCUGUUCCGGGUCCUUUUCGCAAAGUUUAGGGACUGUUUAGUAGUUCCAGUUUUCUUUUGGGUCUCUGUUGUAAUAUGUGCUUUCAUGUUUAUCCAAUAAAUAUCUAGGGCCUUCUGGGCCCGUGUCUGUUAAAAAAAAGACACUGCCGGAGAUUCAAUCAUGCAUGCUCCGUACUCACUGCGUUUCUUUUUACCAAGAAAAUGCACAAAUGAAGGAAGGCGAUGCGUGGUGGCUAUACACCCGGCACCGUGUUGGAGUA
rnacentral:lncRNA from 1 species